rnacentral:rRNA from 1 species
CUCAGAUCACGUAAGGCUUUAAAGGUUGAACAAACCUACUUUAUAGGGCUGCUGCGCCCAAUAGUUGCCUUAAGCCAACAUCGAGGUGCCAAGCCCUCCUGACAAUUUGGGCUCUUUAGGAGGAUUAGUCUGUUAUCCCUGCGGUAGCUGGUUUUUUUGGUCGCGUUAAGGUGCGGAUCAGGUGGUUGUAGGCUGAGAAGCCUUGUAGAGGUAGGGACGUUAGUUUGGUAUAGUGGUCCCAAGUCGCCCCAACUUAAUUUGAUCAGGGAUUAGCUUAUGAUUGUGGGAGUCUAGAGCUUAAAUGGGUUUCAAAUUGAAGCUCGACAGGGUCUUCUUGUCCUUUUUAGGUAUUCGAGCCUCUUCACUCGAAGGUUAGUUUGCAUUGGUGUGAGGGAGACAGCUUGGCUUUCGUUUGUCCUUUCAUUCUAGCCUCUAAUUAAGAGGCGAGUGAUUAUGCUACCUUUGCACGGUCAGGGUAGCCGCGGCCGUUGAAAUUUUUGGUUCACUGGGCAGGAUUAACCUUACAUCAUUUAUCGUGAGGCAAUGUUUUUG